UCUCACUGCAACAAGUUUGAUGAAAAAAUUAUUUGAGUUUUUCAAUUAUCCAGUACUUCAUUUCGACUCGUGAGAUAUUCUCAGGAUAAUUCCUAGGGGAAUUUUAGACAGGAAGCGGUAGAUUUUAUCAGUUUAGCUCGGAAUAUCAACAGAACGUCUCAACAGUCUCAUCCGGACUGCAUUUGGUAUUGUGAACAAUUGUUUUUUUAACGCGGGAGAAACAAAUUUUUGCUUUGCGUUCAGGUGCGACGAUUUUUGUGGAUUUGUGAUUCGAAAAGGACUUUUCGAACAAAAAUUAUUUCGACUCGUGUGAGUGGAAUAGUUGGUCUCGUGUCGGCAGCCCCCACGAGAAAAUAAAAAGUUGUGGGGGUCAACUAAAAUUCCAAAUAAUGACAAAAUCUUUGAACUGAUCGAUUGAACAAAUUCAUUUUACGGUACUGGACGAUAUUUCUUGUGGAAUUUCUUCCUCCGUUGGGAAUUAUUUUUUACAACCAGCUGUUAAAGCCACAAAACGUAAUUAUGUAGAGAGUGAUCAAGAUAACAAUAUUUUUCCCAUAUGCCUACUAAUUCUCGAAGAAUUUCCUCUCCUUCUGGAAUGUGCUGAUGAAACACUAUUCUUCUCUUAAAUGCAUGGUAGGAGUGAGUAAUAAAAGUAAAGGAAAAGAAAUCCACUUGUCGCCUUCACCGAACAAGUCAGGCAUUUUGAGAUAAUUAUCAGUGACCUUGAGACGGCAUGUUAUUCAUAUGUUUACCCACUAUUGCUCCUCUAUUUUCAAACAUCGGUGAAUAUCAAAGUCUGGAGGAUUAUGUCGCUUAUCAAAUAAAAAUCGACAGUGCUGGAUUCCAUCAUAAAGAUGUGAGGAAUUGAUGCUUUUCAAAUUUAAUCGGAAUUUAAUGGAAUUCAAAAUUGCUGAAGGUCGUACACCAAAAAUUUUCAUUUCACCCGAAAAUUCGAGGUAACAAGUGUCAAUACUUGUGUUGGGGAAUUAUUCGCGGGCUGAAAAGUCGGAAAAAUUACUGUGCCAGGGACUAGAAUAGAGGUGCAAAAUGCUAGAAUAGGGGAAUGUGUUUUACUCACAUAUAAAAAUCCCUAUCAAUACCGUAAAUUUUGUAAUAAAUUUUUUAAUUAAUGAUAGGUAGCUUCGUAAAAGUGAAUAAACAGCGCUAUAAAAUUUAAAGGUCUAUCAUUUUUUAUUUGAGGUUAAAUUAAAAAUUGAUAGAAAUAUUUUUAAAAAUCCUAUCUAGGUCCAUUAAUUUUAUUGGGCCUUCCUUCAUUUUUUACUGUGCUACACAGCGAUUUUUCGGUACCUCAUUGUGAUUGGUUAAUGAUGAGCGCCGACUACAGCCGAUUAAUGCCGACGGUGGACUCCGUGAUGGGAAAUGUUGCAUCAGAAUUUGAAUUUUCAUUGUAGUAAUUUUAUAGUAAUAUAUCUCAGACAUAGUAAUUUUUUACGAGGCCGAUAGAGAAAUUUUCCGAAGCUGAUAAAGAAAUUGUACAAUGCCGCAUCGGAAUUCUAUUCUCAGGCCUUGAGUUUGCGCCGAUAUUGUAAAACUGCACAAUAAUUUUUAUGGGAAUCACGCUAUAAAAAUUGUCAGAUUUUUCUCUCCGUGUAAAAAAAGCAAAAAAAUGUUUACUAAAACAAUUUACGCAAAUUUCAUUUAUAAGCAAACGAUGGAAUACUUUAAUUCAUAAUUUAAAUUAUUGUUUUAGAAAAUUGAUAGAUCGGUUUUUGAUAUAUUGAAAUUAGAAUUUACAGGAAAAUUAUAAAUUAUGAAUAUCUCGUACGUUAGUACUUCUGUAUAUCUCAUCAACACUCGCUUUCUCAUUUUCAUGACUCCGCUGAUAAAAUACCCCUCGAGGGCGUGGUAAAUAAUGAUGAAGAUAUCAGGUAUUGAGACAGUCGUGAUCGUACGCUCGAUCCUAUCAUUUCUAGUGGAAAAAUAUUACACGCGAUCGACGGUCUCCGAAAAAAAUUUGAGUGAGAGAUCAUUUUAAUGUCACUGAGUGUCUUUUAUUCGGGAUAAAAAUAAAUAUGAAUGUCAGCAAAAAGAAAAAAUAUUGAUCAAAGUCAAUGUUUCAGUUUAAACUCAAAUUCAAAAUUCUCUCGACAGGGAAAUAUUCAAUCUUUCACUGAAAAUUGUAUAUUUCCUUAUAAAUGCGACGGGGUGACAACGGGUGUGAAGUUAGUGGCCCGAGACGAACCCGAGGACUGCAAACCACACGAGUUAAAACAUCCCAUCGCAAGAGUAUUCGAACUAUACUUUGUGUUAGUGAUUGUUAGUGUCAUUUUUCGUUUACAAAUUUUGACUUUUCGUUUACAAGUAAAUGAAAAGACACUUUUCGACAAGGGCUGAACAUAGCAGCAGCGACAAAAAUAAUAUUUUGAAGACAAGUUCUCAAAAAAUUGACUGAACGAAAAAACAAAUCAAUGAACGAUCUUUUUAUUUACAUUUGUGAACAAUAAAAAUAAGCAAAGAAAGAUUGGAUGAGUGGAUUGGUCGAAAAAUUCUCCACCAAUAAAACUGACUGUUCAUUAGAUUUUUCUGCUUUAGUGACAUUAGUAAACAAAUUACUCGCAAUUUUCAAACAUGUCCGAGACAUUAGUGUGGAUUGAUUACGUCAUAAUAACGUGUACACUGCUAAUCAGUUCAGGAAUCGGAUUGUAUUACCGAUUCUCCGGUGGACGUCAGAAAACUACUGAGGAAUUUUUUGUUGCUAAUCGAGAUAUGGGAGUCACGACAAUCGCAAUUGGUCUUAUGGUGUCACUGUUAUCAGCUGUUAGUCUGCUGGGUGUCAGUUCCGAGAUUUAUAUGCAUGGAACACACUAUGUAGUGAUCGUUUUGGGAUAUGCCCUUGCUACACCGGUCAUUGCUUAUUUUUAUCUGCCGGUGUUUUUUAAUUUGGGAGAUACCAGUGCAUUUCAGUAUUUAGAGAAACGAUUUGGAGUGAAAACACGACUAGUAGCAAGCACAAUAUUUCUCGUACAAUUUCUAUUGUACAGUGGGGUUGUUUUGUAUGCACCUGCACUUGCACUGGAAGCGACCACCGGUCUCUCUACGACAAUAAGUGUCAUCAUUAUCGGAGCCGUUUGCACUUUUUACUCCACCAUCGGAGGAAUGAAGGCAGUUUUGAUUACAGAUGUUUUUCAGGGAAUUUUGAUGAUUGCCUCGGUCGUGAUUGUCAUUGUUACGGCUGUUUUGGACGUUGGGGGGAUCAAUAAAAUUUGGGACAUAGCAGUCGAGGGGAAGAGAAUUGAUUUUAACAGCACUUCAUUUGAUCCUACCGUCCGUCACACCUGGUGGAAUUUGAUAAUUGGUGGAUUCUUCAUAUAUUUAUCGCUGUACGGAGUCAAUCAGAUUCAGGUCCAGAGGGUAUUGACAAUCAGAAAUUUGAAAAGAGCGAAAGCAGCGGUCUGGCUCUCUCUCCCCAUCACUGUAAUCCUCGUCUGUGGGAUCAGCUUCUCGGGACUCGCUUUGUACUCGAAAUACCGCAACUGCGAUCCCAGAACAGCGGGUGCCAUCGCCUCCAAUGACCAAUUAAUGCCUCAUUAUAUCAUGGAAAAUUUAUCCAAGUACCCGGGAAUUCCAGGGCUGUUCAUCGCGGGAAUAUUCAGCGCUGGACUCAGCACAGUAUCUGCUGUACAAAAUUCUGCAGCUGCUAUAAUAUUAGAGGACUAUGUAAAGCCUGUUUUCCAAGCUCGACAAAAAACAUUCACCGAGGAUCAAUCCGCCUACACUAGUAAAUUCCUAGCAUUCCUGAUGGGUCUGGUCUGCCUAGCGGUGGCCCUCCUAGCCCAACAGCUGGGUAAUCUCCUGCAGGCCGCUCUGACAAUAUUUGGAGUGGUCGGUGGGCCUCUCCUGGGUGUUUACACACUGGGAAUGUUCAUCGAGUCCGCCGACGAAAUAAGUGCAAUCCUCGGACUAAUUGCCAGCUUCAGUCUCUCCCUGUGGAUCGGCUUUGGCGAACCGAAGCCAGAAAUUCCAAAGCUCCCAGUUGACGUCAGUGGUUGCAACGUCACAAUGACCGACAGUACAAAUAAUCGAGGUAGUGCCACCGAUGAUGACAUAUUUUACCUCUAUCGGAUAUCCUACAUGUGGUACUGUGCACUUGGCUUCGUCUGUUGUCUCCUCAUCGGCCUUCUAACAUCCCUAAUCAUCAAUUUAUUAUCUGAGAGGAUAAAUAACGAAAGAAAAACAUUGAAUCCCGAUUUGUUCACUCCGUUGAUCGCCGCUAGAAUACGAAAACGACAGGAGAUGCGAAGGUAUUAGGGUGUUGAAUAAUAUUGUUGAGUCAACAUCGGUGAAGAAAUAUCCUCUCGUAUUCAUCCAUCGAAGAACAUUUGCGGUUUCCGGAGUGCUUUUGAAAUUCUUCGGCGUUGCCUCGACCUCAAAUUAUUCCAGUAUUUGUCGGCUUUGUGUGGAUUCAAUAUUGACAGUGUUGUAUUAGUACAAGUGCUUCGAGGAAAAUCACAGACUAUUUGAAGAAGAAACGUCUGGACUCUACGAUCCUCCCCACAGAGAAAGAAAUUUCGGAUGAAAGUUAGACCUCUAGAGGGCGAAACGUGGGAGGAAAUGAUGAUCCAUUACUUUUUAGAGGAAGUUUCGUAGGAAAAAUUAGACUUGGAAUAAAAUUUAAUUGUGACUGAAAUAUGGAAAGGUUUCACAAGGUCUCAUUGGGUUGAUGAACAGUCACUGGAUUAAAGAACUUUUCCGCAAUAAAUAUGUUAAUUAGUGCGCGGAUAUGAUCUUGAAAUUAAAUAAUUGAGCUGUCACAAAUUCCACUCGCAUCUCUACUUUCAUUGAGAGUCAAGAGAGAGAAAGAGAGUGGGAAACGGAUGACUGAGGGAGAUGGAGUUAUCACUGGUGGAGGCCACUGAGACCGGUGAUGCGAGGCCUCUUACAAUCAGGCACACUAUUCUUUUACUGUUAUAAACACACCGAUGUACGUACGCUCACCUAAACCUUCCAACUUGUACUCAAUUUUCAUUGUCAUUAGAGAGAGAACAAUAAGUUGGGGGCGGGAGGACUGAACGGCUUUAGAAAUCAGUUCAUUUAUUCGAUGGAUGCAGAAGUGUUAGGUGCCUGUAAUAGAUUCAGAUUAAAGUGGUUUUGAAAAAGAGACGAUUUUAUUUAAUUAAUUUGACGACAGAAUGCUAACCACCAGUGCCUCCAACCAUGAUCGACGGUUCCUCAGAGAAACGCAUUUCGAUGAUAAUAAAAAUUUAAUAACUUCCUACAAAGUUCAAUAAUAAAUUUAGAAUCGAGAAUUCAGGAACACAUUUUUAAACAUUUUCCACACUUUUACGGAUUUCCGUGGAAUAAGUGUCCUUUUAGUAUCGAUUUAUUGUCCGACUAAAUUGUUGUUUUACAAUGGGAAAAAUACUUUAAAGUUUAGUCAAAAUGUCAUUUGAUAAAAAUGCCUGAAGAAAGACCAAAAAUUUUUACAAAAAAUCGUUUUACAUUCCCUUAAUAAAAAUCAGCAUAAUUUUUUAGUUUCCUCUCUUCACCAUUGUAGACAUCAAGGAUUGUCGUACAUCAUUCACAAAAAAAUUGCAAAUAUUUAACACAUAUUCGCAUCCGUUUUACACAAUGUAACAACAAAAUCAAGGAAUGCGGAAAUGCCAACAAGUUCUCGCAACACCAAUAUUCCCACCUAAAAAUGCAUUUCGAUAAUAAGACAAAUCUCUAAUAACGUCCCGAAAAGCCCGAUAAAUUCAUAAUCGAGAAAUUUCUCCUUUGACAUAAAUAGCAAAAAAAACAUUUUCGAUAGUCAUUGGAGAUUAAACCAAUAUCGAUAAAAUUCUUUGAUAUGAUUUUCAGCCACGCGGAGAGCGUCUCAUACCAGUAGAAUCGGAGUGAGACUCUCCGAUGUGUUUAACUCAUCUAUUGCGCAUGCGCACUGGCUCAGUAACUGUUGGAAUGCGCGCGAGGCGUCCCUUUUCGUUCCUUUCACUGUCUCUUUCCCACUAACGCCGAUAUUGCGUGCUAAAUACCCCGGGGAAUUUCAAAAAUAUUUGUUUUCCCAUUUUUACGAGAACUCUACCCCCACCCCCGCCGCGAGCAUAAUGCGCCAGCAAUGACAAAAUCGAAAAAAAAAAAUCAAAACGACUGGGCACUUGGAAAAAAUUUGAAAUUUUUCCUUUAACGAGAUGAGCAUUUGAAAAUUAAUUGCAACCAAUG